rnacentral:tRNA from 1 species
UCCCAGGUGGCUCAGUGGUAAAGAAUCUGCCUGUCAAACAGGAGAUGCAGGUUCGAUCCCUGGGCUUGGAA